rnacentral:rRNA from 1 species
UACGUAGGGCGCAAGCGUUUGUCCGGAAUUAUUGGGCGUAAAGAGCUCGUAGGCGGCUUGUCACGUCGGGUGUGAAAGCCCGGGGCUUAACCCCCGGGUCUGCAUUCGAUACGGGCUAGCUAGAGUGUGGUAGGGGAGAUCGGAAUUCCUGGUGUAGCGGUGAAAUGCGCAGAUAUCAGGAGAACACCCGUGGCGAAGGCGGCUC